rnacentral:rRNA from 1 species
GGACGGGACGGGUGCCAGCCAUGCAGUCGAACGAUGAAGCGGUGCUUGCACCGUGGAUUAGUGGCGAACGGGUGAGUAACACGUGAGCAACCUGCCCUGGACUCUGGGAUAAGCGCUGGAAACGGUGUCUAAUACUGGAUAUGAGCUCUCAUCGCAUGGUGGGGGUUGGAAAGAUUUUUUGGUCUGGGAUGGGCUCGCGGCCUAUCAGCUUGUUGGUGAGGUAAUGGCUUACCAAGGCGUCGACGGGUAGCCGGCCUGAGAGGGUGACCGGCCACACUGGGACUGAGACACGGCCCAGACUCCUACGGGAGGCAGCAGUGGGGAAUAUUGCACAAUGGGCGGAAGCCUGAUGCAGCAACGCCGCGUGAGGGAUGACGGCCUUCGGGUUGUAAACCUCUUUUAGCAGGGAAGAAGCGUGAGUGACGGUACCUGCAGAAAAAGCGCCGGCUAACUACGUGCCAGCAGCCGCGGUAAUACGUAGGGCGCAAGCGUUAUCCGGAAUUAUUGGGCGUAAAGAGCUCGUAGGCGGUUUGUCGCGUCUGCUGUGAAAUCCCGAGGCUCAACCUCGGGUCUGCAGUGGGUACGGGCAGACUAGAGUGCGGUAGGGGAGAUUGGAAUUCCUGGUGUAGCGGUGGAAUGCGCAGAUAUCAGGAGGAACACCGAUGGCGAAGGCAGAUCUCUGGGCCGUAACUGACGCUGAGGAGCGAAAGGGUGGGGAGCAAACAGGCUUAGAUACCCUGGUAGUCCACCCCGUAAACGUUGGGAACUAGUUGUGGGGACCAUUCCACGGUUUCCGUGACGCAGCUAACGCAUUAAGUUCCCCGCCUGGGGAGUACGGCCGCAAGGCUAAAACUCAAAGGAAUUGACGGGGACCCGCACAAGCGGCGGAGCAUGCGGAUUAAUUCGAUGCAACGCGAAGAACCUUACCAAGGCUUGACAUACACCAGAACACCGUAGAAAUACGGGACUCUUUGGACACUGGUGAACAGGUGGUGCAUGGUUGUCGUCAGCUCGUGUCGUGAGAUGUUGGGUUAAGUCCCGCAACGAGCGCAACCCUCGUUCUAUGUUGCCAGCACGUUAUGGUGGGAACUCAUGGGAUACUGCCGGGGUCAACUCGGAGGAAGGUGGGGAUGACGUCAAAUCAUCAUGCCCCUUAUGUCUUGGGCUUCACGCAUGCUACAAUGGCCGGUACAAAGGGCUGCAAUACCGUGAGGUGGAGCGAAUCCCAAAAAGCCGGUCCCAGUUCGGAUUGAGGUCUGCAACUCGACCUCAUGAAGUCGGAGUCGCUAGUAAUCGCAGAUCAGCAACGCUGCGGUGAAUACGUUCCCGGGUCUUGUACACACCGCCCGUCAAGUCAUGAAAGUCGGUAACACCUGAAGCCGGUGGCCCAACCCUUGUGGAGGAGCCGUGGGAGUGAACCCCAGCCA